rnacentral:rRNA from 1 species
GACAGAGGGUGCAAACGUUGUUCGGAAUUACUGGGCGUAAAGCGCGUGUAGGCGGCCCUGCAAGUCGGAUGUGAAAUCCCACGGCUCAACCGUGGAAGUGCAUUCGAAACUGCAGGGCUAGAGUCCUGGAGAGGAAGGUGGAAUGCUUGGUGUAGAGGUGAAAUUCGUAGAUAUCAGGAGGAACACCAGUGGCGAAGGCGGCUUUCUGGACGGUAACUGACGCUGAGGCGCGAAAGCGUGGGGAGCAAACAGG